ACAAAAUUGAAAUUCUGCAGGUAGGCUUCAUUGAAUUUUUAAGGUGAAAAUGUUACGAUAUUCACGUUACAGUAUACACGUAAAAACUGCGCUGUGGAAAAAGUGAAAGAGACUUACUAAGACUCCUGGAUAAGACGGACAAGGACAAUGCUUGAAAAUCAGAGUAGCUAUGUCGGUAGGUGUAAUAUCUACACAUUGAAUGAACGAUCAAGUUGGACAGAAGCACGAAGAAACAAGCUUCCUUAUUGAAAGAUUCCCACUUGUGACUUUCGUUAUGCAUACUAUUAAUCAGUAUAACGCAUUUUUAAAUUCAACCGUUAAAAAUUUCCGUAAAACUUAAUUUUCACAAUUGUCAAAUUUUCGGACAAAACAAACGAGUGAAAGCCAGCUAUUAAUGAAAAUCUAAAUGAAGCAACAUAGAAAAUUUAAUCGAAUAAAAUCUAGUAAACAUCGAAAAUAAUUUGUAUGCAAGUCACGACGUCAUUUUGGUCAUUUCAUUUUUCAUUGUUAUUGUUUGGUGAAUGAUCAUGUCGAACGUACUGAAUGAAUUUUUCAUAUGAUUUAUGUAUGAGCUGCUAUUAGUAUUUAUUUUUAGUCUAUUCAUUAAAAUUUUUGUUAACAUUCUUCACUCUUUCAUUUUUUGUUCUCUA